GCAGUCCUGCUGUUUAGCACUAUAAGAUGUUCCAAACAUAUUUGCAUGGCCUCAGCCCUGGAAUCAACCACUUCAUCAAGGAGUUCUGAUUCCUUGAUGAAGACUGGAGAAACCAAAUCUAGGCCUCAGGAAAUAGAAGUCACAGGACAAUGUCUCUUCCCACCAACAAAGUUGCGUAUUUUGGUCACAGUUAGUGAAUUAUGAAGUCAAUGUUAACACAUCAGAACCAAGAUGUUUGUUUGUACUAAAUAAAAAGAAUAGAAUGAAACCCAUAAUGUCAGGCUACAUCACAC